AGAGCCUAGAUAUCCGUUGCCGAGAGUCGUUUUGAAUAAUUCAUAAGACGCCGACGCCGGGGGCGCACCGUGUCCGGGGCCUCCGGCAUGGCUCUCUUGGUUAGAUUUCCUUGGCGCGUUCCGCGCCGGGGUUCGGUUUGCGGGCAGGAGACGCGAGGUCCCCGCCCGCAGGAGGGGGCGAGGGGGCGACGAGCGCCCCCCGCCCCCCGUCGGUUGUAACCAAUUCGCGGGUCAUUCUGCUGUGCAGGUUUCGACAAUGAUCCUUCCGCAGGUU